GCCGCGCCUCGCUGGCCAGCGAGGCGAAUCCCGAUCCGCGCUACAGCGGGAAGCGGCACUCGUAAUACGUAGGUCUCGGGUUCGAAUCCCGAAGGCGGCUCCA
rnacentral:tRNA from 1 species